GGAUUAGAUACCCUGGUAGUCCACGCCCUAAACUAUGUGUGCUCGGUGUAGGAGAUUCAAUUUUCUUCUGUGCCUUAGCUAACGCGGUAAGCACACCGCCUGGGAAGUACGGCCGCAAGGCUAAAACUCAAAGGAAUAGACGGGGACCCACACAAGCGGUGGAGCAUGGGGUUUAAUUCGAUGAUAACCGAAGCACCUCACCCAGACUUGACAUCCUUGGAAUCCCGCAGAAAUGUAGGAGUGCCGUAAGGAACCAAGAGACAGGCGAUGCACGGUCGUCGUCAGCUCGUGCCG
rnacentral:rRNA from 1 species